rnacentral:lncRNA from 1 species
UCGAGGUCAUCCCCACCUAAUGAAAUAUAAAAAGUAAAAAUAAAAUUACUACUCUACGCUUCCUUAAAGUGUUCCAUCUCUGGUCUUCAAAUACAACUACUUCGGGGCAUAGCUCGGAUAAAAAUAUAUACAAGUUUCUCGGGGCAUUCCUCGGAUAUAUUCAACUAAAGGAACGACCCUUCACCUCGAAAGAAAUAAUAAGACCUAAAGCUUGCCUACCCAAAUGUAGUCGGCCUAAAUAUGCUACUAGUGAUUAAAGUAAUAAAGUAGCGUACAUGUAAUAUUCAAAUUUUGUGUAAUAUUCAAAUUUUAAUUCUUGUCCCUCAAGUUCCGAUCUCACAUCCAUUAAUAGAAAAAAAUCAAACUAGAAGAUUAAUCAAAAUAGUGUCGUCUUCAAUUUCAAAUUUUAACUAAACCCAUAAACCAAAUCCAAUUCAUUCUUAUGUUCUCAAUCAAAGAAUAAGUAAUUCAAGAUCACAACAACUAUUCUUCCAAGAACAUAUAAACAUAUAAACUAAGCCACAAAAUCAAAUUGCACAGUCAAGCAAUCUACAUCAAAGUUAUGACAUAAAAAUGCACAAGAAAAAGAAAGAAAGAGAAUUAGACCUUUAAUUAUAAUUUUCUUCUCGAAAAUUGGAUUGAAUCCAAACUGAAUCGGGAAUAAGAAAAUUCGACCAAGAUCAACGAACUGAAACUCGUGGGCAACCUCAAAUCCGACCUCUUUGACGCGAUCAAAAUAAGACAAGCGGGUGAUCUCGACGGUGACUAGCGAAACUCAGCUAACUAAACUCCAUUUGACGACCAAAAACUAGAUUUUUUAUACCAUUAAAGUUGACUGUGAUUUGGAGUUGAGGGGUGGUCUCGCUGGUGGGGAAACGGCUGUUGUAGCUCGUUUUCCGUCGAGCUAGGUGGCGGGUUUCUAUUUUUUUGGAGAUGGAAGGUUGGACGAUGGGAGGGGCUGGUUCAUCAUUGGUAGAAGGUGGGGUUCUGGUUGUUGGUGGUCGUGAGUCGACGGGUUUCGGGGUGGACUUGGGCGUUAAUGGUGUUCCGGCGAGUACGGAGCAGCGGCAUUGGUGUUCAGCGGCUUCUAUGGUGGAGCCCCGGCGGGUUUUGGUUGAAGAUGGGGGGUGGAUGGCGGCUGUUUCUCUUGAUUGAUUAGAGUUCCAUUGUUGUAUAUAUAUAUGAAGAAGAAGGUAUGAUUAGGGUGUGGGUUUUAGAGGAAUGGGAAGUGGGCUAGGUCUUCUUGGACUUCAAAAUUGGGCUCUAAAAUUUAUAAAAUUGGGCCAAAAGCAAGCUGGA